GAUACCCUGGUAGUCCACGCCGUAAACGAUGAGUGCUAGGUGUUAGGGGGUUUCCACCCCUUAGUGCUGCAGCUAACGCAUUAAGCACUCCGCCUGGGGAGUACGGUCGCAAGACUGAAACUCAAAGGAAUUGACGGGGGCCCGCACAAGCGGUGGAGCAUGUGGUUUAAUUCGAAGCAACGCGAAGAACCUUACCAGGUCUUGACAUCCCGCUGACCGCCAUGGAGACAUGGCUUUCCCUUCGGGGACAGCGGUGACAGGUGGUGCAUGGUUGUCGUCAGCUCGUGUCGUGAGAUGUUGGGUUAAGUCCCGCAACGAGCGCAACCCUUGUCCUUAGUUGCCAUCAUUCAGUUGGGCACUCUAAGGAGACUGCCGUACAAAUACGGAGGAAGGUGGGGAUGACGUCAAAUCAUCAUGCCCCUUAUGACCUGGGCUACACACGUGCUACAAUGGGCAGUACAAAGGGCUGCGAACCCGCGAGGGGAGCGAAUCCCAAAAAGCUGCUCUCAGUUCGGAUUGCAGGCUGA
rnacentral:rRNA from 1 species